rnacentral:rRNA from 1 species
UCCGGAAUUAUUGGGCGUAAAGGGAGCGCAGGCGGUUGAAAUAGUCUGAUGUGAAAGCCCACGGCUUAACCGUGGAAGGUCAUUGGAAACUGUUCAACUUGAAUACAGAAGAGGUAAGUGGAAUUCCAAGUGUAGCGGUGAAAUGCGUAGAUAUUUGGAGGAACACCAGUGGCGAAGGCGACUUACUGGUCUGUAAUUGACGCUGAGGCUCGAAAGCGUGGGUAGCAAACAGGAUUAGAUACCCUGGUAGUCCACGCCGUAAACGAUGAGUGCUAAGUGUUAGGGGGUUUCCGCCCCUUAGUGCUGGAGUUAACGCAUUAAGCACUCCGCCUGGGGAGUACGGCCGCAAGGCUGAAACUCAAAGGAAUUGACGGGGACCCGCACAAGCGGUGGAGCAUGUGGUUUAAUUCGACGCAACGCGAAGAACCUUACCAACUCUUGACAUCUUCUGAUCACCCUAGAGAUAGGGCUUUCCCUUCGGGGACAGAAUGACAGGUGGUGCAUGGUUGUCGUCAGCUCGUGUCGUGAGAUGUUGGGUUAAGUCCCAUAACGAGCGCAACCCUUAUUGUUAGUUGCCAGCAUUCAGUUGGGCACUCUAGCGAGACUGCCGGUGAUAAACCGGAGGAAGGUGGGGAUGACGUCAAAUCAUCAUGCCCCUUAUGAGUUGGGCUACACACGUGCUACAAUGGACGGUACAACGAGUAGCGAUCCCGCAAGGGUUAGCGAAUCUUAAUAAGCCGUUCUCAGUUCGGAUUGUUCUCUGCAACUCGAGAGCAUGAAGCCGGAAUCGC